rnacentral:ncRNA from 1 species
GUAAAGACUGUGAAAAGGAAGAGUAAGAAUAUUGAACUUUAACAGAGAGUGGGGGAAGGUGAGAGCCCAUAAAGGAAUAUAUUCUGAAAAUCACCUUUGAGUCGUAGGCUGAAGGAUAGAGCUUAAAGUUUGCUUUAGCUAUUUAUCUUGUAGGCUUCACCGGCACAGGCCGUUAUUUAUGGAGUAUAAUAUUGGGUGGCACCGCGGAUAGUUUUCGCCCCAAGC